UAAAAAAUAGGUAUGUGCUAUUUUUUUUUGAGAGAGCUAAUUUUUGUUUCUUAGACGAGGUACGGAGAGUUCUGGCCCAAAGUAUAUUGGGCUUGGCCCUAAUAGAUUGACUCCGAUGUUUAAAACAGGACCAAAAGAGUGCUACUGUACUGUACUGUCCAGCCCAACAAAGCUGUCUCAGUUCUCUCUCAAAAAAAGAAAACCUAAGCCAUCUUGUACGACAACGACGCGUGGCGGUCGACGGCAGCUCAGUGACGCGGUGGCUCCGGCCGUCGGCUGCGGUGUGCGGAGGCGCCGAGGAGGAUCGAGGAGAAGCAGCGUCGAUGCGGUCGCGACGGAGCGCGCGGGCGGGGUCGGCGCUGGAGCCGCUCGGAUGCCGGCUCCGUCGGCCCAAUCGACGGCGACCGGAUCUAAGCGGCGCCCGCACGCCACCGAGGGGGAACAAGAAGUCGAAGCGAGGAGCCGAGCCUCCCUGAGCCCAAGCCUCCCUCGUGUCUACUCUGGCGCCAAAAGAGAAAAGCUUCAGGCAGAUCUGCUCUAGACUUCAACGGGAAGAUCAAGAUGGGGAUCAAAGGUGAAUAAAUAAUUUUUUUUUAGAGCAAGUGAUAAGGGGCGAUGGAAUAUUUGGGGGGAAUAAAUCGACGAAUUCAGAUUGAGAAAAGGGAAUAAAGUGGCACCAAUAGUGCUCUGCA